rnacentral:lncRNA from 1 species
CCACAUCAGCCACGCCCACCCGCCGAUUGGUCCCGCCUACGUCAAUCACGCCUACCCGAGACCUAACCCCAACCCCGCCCAUCCUCUAUAGGCCCCGCCCCAUCAACAGCGGCGCUCAGCCUAAACUCUAGCGUCCUACAACCCCUGGUCAAGCCUCCCACUCCAGCCCAGUCCCUGGUCAAGCCUCACACUCCAGCCCAGAUUCCACUCUGCCCAGACUGACCAGUGUCUCUGCACUGUUUUUCUUCUACCUCAUCCCCAGUCCUAAUAACCCAAUCAUUGCUAAGUCCCAACUUUGUCCUGAAUCCUAUACCUGUUUUUUCUCUUCCUCUUUCCCACUCCUCUGCCACAGAUCCUCCCAAAUUCCUCCCUUGCCUUCCUGUCUCUGCAGCUUGUCAGAUGCCAAAUACAAAAGGAACUGCUGCUAAAAUAACCGUUUAAUUAUAUAAGUAUUAUAAGUAUUUAUUUGAUUUAGCCAUGCCAUAAUGAUAAAUAAUGGUGAUUCUAGAAUUCUGACUCCUCCAGUAAUGCUAACAAUUAGGCUUCUCAGAGAGUUAUUACGGAAUUUGAGUGAGAGUAUGCAAAAUUGCUUGGAAUAUGGAACUAUUACCCUAACAAAUUAUUAUUAUUGUUAAAAAAUAGUUCCAUCUCUAUUGAAGGAUAUGGAAAACGAAAACCAAGACAGUGUAACCUAAGAGGAGGGAGGGAGGAAGGAAGAAAGUGAAAUAUUCAUCUCUUCCCAGUGACAAUGGGUCCUGAAGGGAGGAGGCGGAUACUGAGUGAUGGGCCCUAGACUUUCACCCUUUCCUAUUGCCAAUGAACCCUGGAAGGAGAAAAGAAAAUAGUGAAGCUCUGGGUAACAAUGGAUCCCAGGAAAGAAGAUAUGCAAUGAACACUGGGCUUUGAGCUUUCAUCCCUUCCCAAUAACAAUGAGUUAUGGACUUUUUAUAACUUUUUUCCUGAUUGCCCAAACUGACACAUUCUGCUGCAGUCUCCAAUGAUUAAGCCACCCUCAUUGUAAACUAUAAAACACAGACCCCUUCUGUAACCAGGGGGCCAUUUUCUACCCAGAAAAUGAGCUCCUCUGAUGACUGACUCUGCUGCUGAAUAAAAGACAUAGCUGAUCCA